CUUCUCUCUGACCACUUGGAGGAGACGACUCCGAGGUGAAGUGGAGCGGCUCAGCGAGCUCGAAGACGACCCGGAGGUGACCUUGCAGCGACCUCAGCGACUCGUCUCCGCCGGCCCUCUCCUCCCCUCAGCGGGUGAUUGGAGCGGAGCAGGGCGAGGGCAAGGAGGAGGGAGGGAGUGACGGAGAAGAGGGGGUGAGUGCUCCUGAACUUCUGUUUUCUUUUCCCGUGGCAUCGAUCCUGGUUCGAUUGGUUGGAAUGUUGCGAUGAUUUGUCGUCACGAACCAGGAUUUUGCUUGGCUUGUCUGGCUGGUUGGCUCCUGCUUGGCUUAGUUAUGAUUUCUCUGCCCUCUGUGUGGUGUAUACUGACUUAAGUUAGACUCUGCCCUGAUUUGGUUUCAUUCAGCCUUGUCCGAUCCACCAGUUCAGCUGCAGCCCUGCGGUAAACCAUUUUCUGGAUACUGGUUUCGGCACGUACCCGGCGUCAAACAACUCACAACAGCAAGCCAAUCCAUUUGGUUGGUGGUAGCCUUUUCUAUAGGCUGCACAGCUCAGGAGCUAAUAGUAUCCCGAGCGAGUCAAUUGCAAGAAACUACCACAUUUGCGGCUAGGUUUGCAGAAAACCACCAAGUCACUAAUCCGUUGCAAAAAACACCGUAAAAUCUCUAAUCUUAUUGCAAAAAGCACUCAUCGGGUGAUUUGGUCCCUUUGAUUGCUUUCUGACAACUGGGGCCCAAUUGUAAGGUGCUGACAUGGCAAAAAAUUAACAUACACAUCCCUGGAUCAAAAAUAAAAAAGCAAUCAGACCCCCCACCCAUCCCCCCCUCCCUUGCGCUCGUGACCCAUCUCACAUCUCCCCUGCGCGACUGACCUUCCUCCGGCGCCGACUCCGGCUCCGGCCACCUCACCUAACCCGUCGGCGCUGCCCUAACCUGCUAGGGCCUAGCCCUUCUUCCUGCUGUAAUCAACAUCGUCGUUGUCUCCUUCCUUGUCGGCGGCAGGGGCGGGGGCGGGCGCGGUGGCGGAGUGCAGGGACGAGACGGCGCCGGCGAGUGCGCGGAGGAGGGGGCCACAGCGGGGGAAAGGAGCAGGGACGCCUCGGUGGGCACGGGAGGGGACGCCACGAGGAGGAGGAGGAUGUCGUCAUGGAGCCCCGUCGCCCAGCCCCUGGUGGUGGUGCACCGCACGACGUCCCCAAUUGCUCUGAGCUGCUGCUUCGGGCACGGCGUCGAGCCGGGGAGGAGCGGUGUCGAGCUGCUGCCGCUGCUUGCACGGCGUCGAGCAGCCACGGGGCCGAGCACUCCCGCCGCCAUGGAGCUGAGGGUGCCGCUGCUGCCCUUCUCUACUGAGGAUGUCGCCGCGGCGGUUGCGUGCAGACGAAGCCAUCAUCUGGGCACGGCGGCUCAGGACAUCGACGGCGACAUCGUCAGGUUGGAGCAAGGCACGGCGGCGGUGACGGGAGCCGGCGGGAUCGAGAGCAGGGGGAUUGAGAGCAAGGGGGUUGAUUGCUUUUUAUUUUUAGAUCCAGGGGUGUGUAUGACAUUAGUUUGCCAAGUCAGCUCUUGACAGCCGGGCCUCACUUGUCAGAAAGCAAUCAAAGGGACCAAAUCACCCGAUCAGUGCUUUUUGCAAUAAGAUUAGAGAUUUUACGGUGUUUUUUGCAACGGAUUAGUGACUUGGUGGUUUUCUGCAAACCUAGCCGCAAAUGUGGUAGUUUCUUGCAAUUGACUCGUCCCGAGCAAAUGCGGUUUUGUGUGCGAUUGUGCCUGGCCAUUCCUCUAUGUCAGUCGUGUAAUGAUAUGUCUGUAUUCGCUUCGCCACACGGCUCUGUGGCGAUGUCUCUUUCACAUUUCUCUAAUGCUAUGAUGAUAUCUGAACUAUCCUGGCUAAGGUACUUGUUGAGUUAUGUAAACUUUUUCUUGAAGGAAGAGUUAUGUAAAUUUCA